rnacentral:rRNA from 1 species
GGUUUUUUGUUUAUAUAGGAAAUUUAACCUGCCCACUGAAGUAUUUUGAAGGGCCGCAGUAUUUUGACUGUGCAAAGGUAGCAUAAUCAUUAGUCUUUUAAUUAAGGGCUUGUAUGAAUGGUUGGACGAGGUAAAUUCUGUUUUAUAAUAAUGUAUUGAAUUUUGAUUUUGAGUAAAAAGACUUAAAUAAUAUUAAGGGACGAGAAGACCCUAUAGAGUUUAAUAAAUAUUUUUUUUGAUUGAGUUUAUAAGGGAUUUUUGGUUAAAUAAAUCAUUUAUUUAAUUGGGGUGAUUAAAAGAUAAAAGAAACUCUUUUUUUUUUUUAAUAUAAAUAGAUAAUAUAAUGAUCCAUUAUUAAUGAUUAAAAGAUUAAAUUACCUUAGGGAUAACAGCAUUAUUUCUUUUGAGAGUUCUUAUCGAAAAAGAAGAUUGUGACCUCGAUGUUGGAUUAAGAUUUAAUUUGGGUGUAGAUGUUCAAAAUAUUAGGUCUGUUCGACCUUUAAAAUCUUACA